AACGCACAUUGCGCCCGCCAGUAUUCUGGCGGGCAUGCCUGUUCGAGCGUCAUUUCAACCCUCAGUCCCCCCAGGGGGACUGGCGUUGGGGGACGGCCCCUCCCGGCCGCCCCCGAAAUGCAGUGGCGACCCCGCCGCAGCCUCCCCUGCGUAGUAGCUGUACACGACUUCGUGGAAAACCUCGCACCGGAGAGCGGCGCUGCUCGGCCGUGAAACCCCAACUUUCUGAAAGGUUGACCUCGGAUCAGGUAGGAAUACCCGCUGAACUUAA
rnacentral:misc_RNA from 1 species